GGCCGGGCGGGUCGCGUGCGGCGCGGACCGUUCGGUCGGGACGGGAUCGGCGUGGUCAGCGCAGGUCGCGUUCGAUACGUGGCCAGGUCU
rnacentral:tRNA from 2 species